AAAGUUCCAAGGAUAUCACCUGGUAAUCCACAGGAACUCAUCAAAAAAUCUGAUGAUAUAACUCGUAGGGACUGACAGAUAACAUCCCAGGUGUUAAUGCAUAACCCUUUCUCUUUAGUGGAAUCAAAUUUUCACAGAAGCAGUUCCUUAGAAGGCUCUCAAAUCUUGAAUGGGAUAGCUUUUUCUGAUGAUGAAUAUGACAUAAAGGCUUUGAAAACUCUGAUAGCCACUCUGAAUGAAGAGGAAAAUUUCACCAGUUGAAGAGAGUAAGUCGCACAUUUUGCAAGGUCUUUCCUUUAAUACUAUCUACCAAACUCUUCCCACUUGUAUUUUCUGUAGAGCCUACUCAAUUAGGAAUAAGAAUGGAGGCCUAGGACAGCAUAGAUAAUUCAUUUCCAUGAUCCUAAUGCUUCAUUUCAUCCAUUAGCUUCAACCUAGUUCCUCACUCUCACCCCGAUGCUUCUAAUAGAGAAAAAAAGUGGGCUUGGUUUUUCUUUUCUUCCUCUUUUCUCCCACUCCCAACCACUGCAGGAAGUCUUUUUUUAACCUAAGAGAGUUGCACCAAAUCAGAGACAUUUGAGGAAAAUGUGAGAACGUAUAACUACAGAGACUCUAGAAGUAAAAUCAGCCUUUGGAUAACUAAGAUGUGACUACUAUAAUUUAUGAUAUCAAGACGAGAGAGAAGAAAGUCUGAUGAUCUUGACAAGGAAUGGGAAGUGGGCUACGUCUAGAAACUUCCUGUAAAAGGCAGAUCUAAAGGUCACAAAUCUUAAAAUGUGAGCCAACGCUCUACUUUCCUGAAAAAAUGGAAGCCAUCCAAUGUGAUGUCUCCUUUUACAUUCCCUUCAACCAUUAACCAGGAGUGGCACAGAGUGGUAAUCUGGUUAAAAGGGAGGAUGAAGGGCCACGUCUUGUAAUUGCAUUUUUAAGCAAUAACACUGUUUUUAAUUAUAUCAUAUUCUUUUGGACCAAUAAACAGAGCAAAGUUUUCUAAAGGUGCAUUUAUUCACAUUUUACAUAAUAUUAAAGACAGCAAAUACAUUAAAUUUGAAUAUCAUUAUCAUUAUUCUUGUUUGGGGUGGUUUUGGUGCUCCUUCAGCUGAGAGGGGUGGCUAAAAUUACCUCAAACAACUAUUCCAUCAUUUGAACACUUCUGUAUACUUUCUCCCAUUCUCAUAUUUGUUUUUCUGUCCCAAAGAGCUAUGUCCUGUCUCCUUUUCAAAGUUGUGUUCUUAACAUCCUCACCAAUUUUUACCAAGAAUUUGACCCUGUCAUGCUUUAACAUAUAUGCAUUUAAAUACACUCUACUAUCUUUUCUGGUAAGUCUACAGAUAACAGUCUUAGGUUUAUUGAAGGUGAUUCAGGGGCUAGGACAGUUAAUGAGGAAGUCAGGAAGAGCUGGUGAAGGUAGGAUCCACCUAACCCCAUCUAUCAGCACUACCCACAGCAACAGUCUUUUGUACAUCUUGGAUUUGGAGUUUACAGUACUUUUUUUUUUUUUCCCUGAAAAGAAACUUUCUCUGCUAGAAAUGAUCCUUAAGAAACCCAGGGCACACAAACCUGCUUACAUCUUCCAUUUUUAACAAGACUUUCCCAAUUAGGAACCAUCCUUUACCUUGCCUUUACCUCCAAAAGAUCUAUAAUCAUUAUUGCUCACUCUCUACUGCUGCUACUUUUUCUUCCUUCUCAUUUUCAUCCUUCUCCCUUCUUCCUUCCCCUCUUCUUCCCCCUUCCUCUUCAUUUUCCACUUCUAUUUCUUUUCUGCAUUUUUGUUUUUUUUGUCAGUCUCCUUCACAAGAAUUUAAGCUCCACAAGGAUCGAAGUUCUGUUCUAUUUUGCUCAUUGGAUACUAUCUAAUGCCUAAAACAGUAACUGGCACAAAAUCAAUACAAACUUGCUGAAUAAAUAAAAAUAAUUAGAAAAUUCAAAUUAAUGGUAAAAUAGUGUUUUUUAAAAGAUAGCAAGUAACUUUAAUAUCCAAAGAUAAUCACUGUUAACAUUUUAGUGGGACUCUUUUCUGUGCAGAUAUAUGCCAUACAUUCUUCAAGGAGCUCACAGUCAAUUUGAGGAGACAGAAUAUAAAUUGGAUUACAACACACUAAGUGUUAUAACUGAACAAAACUCUAUAGAGCAGAAGAACCAAAACCAAAACCAAACCCACUGCCCUCAAGUUGAUUCCGACUUAUAGCAACCCUACAGGACAGAGUAAAACUGCCCCAUAGAGUUUCCAAGGAGCACCUGGCGGGUUUAAACUGCCGACCUCUUGGUUAGCAGCCUUAGCACCUAACCACUACACCACCAGGAUUUCCAUAGAGCAGAAAAGACGGAGUAAUUAAUUCCACCUGGGAA